rnacentral:rRNA from 1 species
UUUAACUGAAGAGUUUGAUCAUGGCUCAGAUUGAACGCUGGCGGCAGGCUUAACACAUGCAAGUCGAGCGGAGCGAGGGUGCUUGCACCUUAGCUUAGCGGCGGACGGGUGAGUAAUGCUUAGGAAUCUGCCUAUUAGUGGGGGACAACGUUCCGAAAGGGACGCUAAUACCGCAUACGCCCUACGGGGGAAAGCAGGGGAUCUUCGGACCUUGCGCUAAUAGAUGAGCCUAAGUCGGAU